rnacentral:tRNA from 2 species
GCAAACAUAGCUGAGAUGGAUUAGCGCUUGCCUGAAGAGCUUGAGAGCUUGGUUCGAUUCCAAGUGUUUGCA